CUACAGGUUGUUUUCACAACCACUAAGCAAAUAUUUUAGGAGACUU
rfam:Callithrix jacchus chromosome X, whole genome shotgun sequence